rnacentral:rRNA from 1 species
UUGCGGUAUCCCGACCGUACUAAGGUAGCAUAAUCACUUGCCGUUUAAUUGAUGGCUGGAAUGAAUGAAUAUACGAGAGCUCAACUGUCUCAUUUUUACCAAUAUAAAUUGACCCUCAAGUGAAGAGACUUGAAUUUUAAAAAAAGACGAAAAGACCCUAUAGAGCUUUACCUGAACUCUAUAUAUUUUAGAACUAAGGUUUAGUUGGGGCAACUAGAGAGUAUCUAAAACCUCUCUUCUAGUAAAUUGAUAAGAUCCGCUUUUGCGAUAAGAAGAAAAAGCUACCUUAGGGAUAACAGGCUAAUCCUCUUAAGAGACC